AGGUAGAUGUCGUGCUGUGAAGAAGUCCCGUGGGGGCUCUUAAAAAGCUAGCAAGUUUGGCCAAGAUGGAGAAGAUGGAGGAUCAAGGGUGGGCUGUGAGAACUGGAGGGUCUCAGUCCAGAGCCCUUGACUGGUGAUUCUGAGCUCACAAUAAGGCAGAACCUACUGUGUGGCAGCAACGGACUGGAGCACGUGACAGAGGCCACGCCCCACCUCAGGCAGACAAGAUACAGGAGUGGGAAAGGGGCUGGAUUCCAGGUAUAACUUUAAAAGUUUGCCUCUUGGGGCCUACUUCCUCCAGCUUGACCCCCACCUCCUAAGUUUCCACCACCAACUGGAGAUCAACUGUUCCAUGCAUAAGCCUUUUGGAGACGGGGUCCAUAUUCAACCCAGGACAUCAACACCAAGAAAUGAGUCAUGUUCCAGUUUAUAGAUAAGGUAGCCAGCCUUGUCUGAUACCAUGCUGUGUACGUGUCCUGAAAUAUCACGCUGCAUCCAGUAAGUGUGC
rnacentral:lncRNA from 1 species